GGAAGUAAAAGUCGUAACAAGGUCUCCGUUGGUGAACCAGCGGAGGGAUCAUUACCGAGUUCUUGAACUCCCAAACCCCCUGUGAACAUACCACUGUUGCUUCGGCGGUCCCCCGCCCCGGCGCCCCUCCCGGCGCCGGGCGCGCGCCGCCGGAGGCCCCAAACCUCUGUAUUUUACCCGCUCCGGCGGAUUCUCUCUGAGUGGCGAAAGCAAAUCAAAUCAAAACUUUCAACAACGGAUCUCUUGGCUCUGGCAUCGAUGAAGAACGCAGCGAAAUGCGAUAAGUAAUGUGAAUUGCAGAAUUCAGUGAAUCAUCGAAUCUUUGAACGCACAUUGCGCCCGCCAGUAUUCUGGCGGGCAUGCCUGUUCGAGCGUCAUUUCAACCCUCGCGCCCCCCGGCCCCGUGCCGGGCGGGCGCGGUGUUGGGGCUCGGCCGUCCCCCGCGGCGGCCGUCCCCGAAAUCCAGUGGCGGUCUCGCCCGCGGUCUCCCCUGCGUAGUAGCACACCUCGCUCUGGAGCCCCGGCGCGGCCACGCCGUAAAACCCCCCACUUCAAUGGUGAC
rnacentral:misc_RNA from 1 species